rnacentral:misc_RNA from 1 species
GAUGAAGAACGUAGCGAAAUGCGAUAAGUAAUGUGAAUUGCAGAAUUCCGUGAAUCAUCGAAUCUUUGAACGCAUAUUGCGCCCUCCGGUAUUCCGGGGGGCAUGCCUGUCCGAGCGUCAUUGCUGCCCUCAAGCACGGCUUGUGUGUUGGGCCUCCGUCCUCCUCCCGGGGGACGGGCCCGAAAGGCAGCGGCGGCACCGCGUCCGGUCCUCGAGCGUAUGGGGCUUCGUCACCCGCUCUUGUAGGCCCGGCCGGCGCUUGCCGACACAUCAAUCUUUUUUCCAGGUUGACCUCGGAUCAGGUAGGGAUACCCGCUGAACUUAAGCAUAUCAAUAAGCGGAGGA